rnacentral:rRNA from 1 species
GGCGAACGUCGGCGGCAGGCCUAACUCAUGAAAGUCGAACGAAGUCUUCGGACUUAGUGGCGGACGGGUCAGUAACACGUGGGAACGUGCCUUUAGGUUCGGAAUAACUCAGGGAAACUUGUGCUAAUACCGAAAGUGCCCUUCGGUGGAAAGAUUUAGUCGCCUUUAGAGCGGCCCGCGUCUGAUUAGCUAGUUGGUGAGGUAAAGGCUCAUCAAGGCGACGAUCAGUAGCUGGUCUGAGAGGAGGAUAAGCCAUAUUGGGACUGAGUCACGGCCAAAGCUCGUACGGGCGGCAGCAGGGGGGAAUCUUGCGCAAUGGACGAAAGCAGGACGCAGCCAUGCCGCGUGAAUGAUGAAGGUCUUAGGAUUGUGAAAAUCUUUCACCGGGGCCGAUCAUGCCGGUACCCGGAGAAGGAGCCCCGGCUAAGUUCGUGGCAGCCGCCGCCGUAACAC